rnacentral:rRNA from 1 species
GACAGAGGAUGCAAGCGUUAUCCGGAAUGAUUGGGCGUAAAGCGUCCGCAGGUGGCUAUGUAAGUCUGCUGUUAAAGAGCAAGGCUCAACCUUGUAAAGGCAGUGGAAACUACAUGGCUAGAGUGCGUUCGGGGCAGAGGGAAUUCCUGGUGUAGCGGUGAAAUGCGUAGAGAUCAGGAAGAACACCGGUGGCGAAAGCGCUCUGCUAGGCCGCAACUGACACUGAGGGACGAAAGCUAGGGGAGCGAAUGGG